rnacentral:pre_miRNA from 1 species
AUCACUUGGGAAUCUUGUUAAAAAGCAGAUUCUGGUUCAGUAGGUCUGGGAUGGGGCCUGGGAUUCUGCUUUGAUAACAAGUUCCCAGGUGAUGCUGA